rnacentral:rRNA from 1 species
GACGAACGCUGGCGGAAUGCUUUACACAUGCAAGUCGAACGGCAGCACGGGAGCUUGCUCCUGGUGGCGAGUGGCGAACGGGUGAGUAAUGCGUCGGAACGUACCGAGUAAUGGGGGAUAACGCAGCGAAAGUUGUGCUAAUACCGCAUACGCCCCGAGGGGGAAAGUGGGGGAUCGCAAGACCUCACGUUAUUCGAGCGGCCGACGUCUGAUUAGCUAGUUGGUGGGGUAAAGGCCUACCAAGGCGACGAUCAGUAGCGGGUCUGAGAGGAUGAUCCGCCACACUGGAACUGAGACACGGUCCAGACUCCUACGGGAGGCAG